GUGUCGUCAGCUCGUGUCGUGAGAUGUUGGGUUAAGUCCCGUAACGAGCGCAACCCUUGUCCUUAGUUACCAGCACGUUAUGGUGGGCACUCUAAGGAGACUGCCGGUGACAAACCGGAGGAAGGUGGGGAUGACGUCAAGUCAUCAUGGCCCUUACGGCCUGGGCUACACACGUGCUACAAUGGUCGGUACAAAGGGUUGCCAAGCCGCGAGGUGGAGCUAAUCCCAUAAAACCGAUCGUAGUCCGGAUCGCAGUCUGCAACUCGACUGCGUGAAGUCGGAAUCGCUAGUAAUCGUGAAUCAGAAUGUCACGGUGAAUACGUUCCCGGGCCUU
rnacentral:rRNA from 1 species